GAUCUUGUGGUCCCAUUGCUUAGCCAGCCACUCUGGUAAAACUUGGUUGUAAUUGCUCUGAAUAAUGAAACAUUGCUAAAGAACACAGAGUAGGAGACAAACCAGGUGACAAAGUGGUUUUUGUCAUUCUUCUUUCCAUAGGAAAAAUGAUAAGAAAAUGGACACUUUUUUGGCAGUCUCUGUGAAAGGAAAAUUCAUUAUAUGAAAAGCCAAAUUUAAAUACAGAGAGAAAAGAAAAGCAAGAAAAGAGAGAAAGAGAAGAGAGAGAAGAGAGGAGAGGAAAAGAGAGAGAAGAGAAGAUAGAAAAAAGAGAGAAGAGAGAGAUAGAUUCAGAGAAUAGAAACAGAAGAGGAGAGAUAAGAAGGGAGAGCAAAAAAAAGAAGAGAAGAGAAAAAAAGAGACAGAAAAAGAGAGGGACAAAGAAAAGAGAGAAGAUAAAGAUAAGUGAAGAGGAGAGGAAUGAAGAGAAGAGUAGAAAAUGGAGAGAGGAUAUUAGUGGUGAGGAGAGCCUAAAAGAGGAAAAAGGAAUGCCAAUGAGAAGAGAGAAAUAAAAGAAAAGAGAAAAAAGGACAGGAGAAGAGAAAGAGAAGAAAGAGAAAGAGGAAAAGAGAAACAGAGGAGAGAAGAGAAUGGAGAGAAAAGAAAGCAAAGAAAAGAGAAAGGAAAGAUAAGUGGGUUUGGCUCAAGAGGUUAGGCUGAGUAGUGGCAAGGAGAGGAGAAGGUGGUGCAGCUUGAGAGGUGAGGCUGAGUGGCGAGGAGAAGAAAGGAAAAAAAGACAA